rnacentral:miRNA from 1 species
GAGAGAGAGAGAGAGAGAGAGAGAGAGAGAGAGAGAGAGAGAGAGAGAAUGAGGAGCAGGGAGUUCUGAGUCCAACCCACAUGCGCCCCAUCAUCAUUACAGCUCAGUGAAUGGGUUGCCAUAGCCCAUAGCAUUUGAUACAUCUCUCUCUCUCUCUCUCUCUCUCUCUCUCUCUCUCUCUCUCUCUCUCUCCCUUCUAUC